GACAGUGUGGCUUAGUGGUUUGAGUGUUGGACUAUGCCGCUGGAGACCAGGGUUCAAAUCCCUGCUCAGCUA